rnacentral:rRNA from 1 species
AGAGGGUGCAAACGUUGUUCGGAAUUACUGGGCGUAAAGCGCGUGUAGGCUGCUCGGAUAGUCGGAUGUGAAAGCCCUGGGCUCAACCUAGGAAGUGCAUUCGAAACUUCCGAGCUGGAGUGCUGGAGAGGAAGGCGGAAUUCUCGGUGUAGAGGUGAAAUUCGUAGAUAUCGAGAGGAACACCGGUGGCGAAGGCGGCCUUCUGGACAGCUACUGACGCUAAGACGCGAAAGCGUGGGGAGCAAACAGGAUUAGAUACCCUGGUAGUCCACGCCGUAAACGAUGGGUGCUAGGUGUCGCGGGCUUUGACCCCUGCGGUGCCGUAGCUAACGCAUUAAGCACCCCGCCUGGGGAGUACGGCC